AUUAAGCGCAUGCGCCAUUUGAAAAUGUAAAAUCAGUGAAGCAAGCGCCAGAGAAGAUUGGCAAGAAGGCUCUGAAGCUCUGAAGCAAGAACUCUGGAAUCGCCAUUUGGCUGGAUCGGGUCGAGACGAGUCCCAAGGGGUCUACCGGAAAGGGCGUGACUUCGCCACUCUAUGGAGAGGCGAGCGGGCAGAGAGGAAGCGCAGUGUCCUGUCAUGUGGCAAGCGAAACUGUGGCGUCCGUGCUUGUCGAACGCAUGCGCACACAACUGGAAACCGUUGGGAUAGAUGAGAAUCACAAUAAAAUGUGACACUGAAUUUGAAACAGCCCAUUGUAAUUUCUGCAUCUAUUAUCAAAUAUGUAGUAGUAAUACAGUG
ensembl:lncRNA